AUGAGAUAAGUAUAAACCCCUUAACAAGUAUCAAUUGGAGGGCAAGUCUGGUGCCAGCAGCCGCGGUAAUUCCAGCUCCAAUAGCGUAUAUUAAAGUUGUUGCAGUUAAAAAGCUCGUAGUUAAUUUUCUGUUAAUUUUUAUAUACAAUGCUACGGUAUUUAUAUAAUAUUAACAUAAUUCAUAUUACUUUUUAAGUAUAUGAAAAUUUACUUUUAAAAAAUU
rnacentral:rRNA from 1 species